rnacentral:rRNA from 1 species
GAUGAACGCUGGCGGCGUGCCUAAUACAUGCCAGUCGAGCGAACGGACGAGAAGCUUGCUUCUCUGAUGUUAGCGGCGGACGGGUGAGUAACACGUGGAUAACCUACCUAUAAGACUGGGAUAACUUCGGGAAACCGGAGCUAAUACCGGAUGAUAUUUUGAACCGCAUGGUUCAAAAGUGAAAGACGGUCUUGCUGUCACUUAUAGAUGGAUCCGCGCUGCAUUAGCUAGUUGGUAAGGUAACGGCUUACCAAGGCAACGAUGCAUAGCCGACCUGAGAGGGUGAUCGGCCACACUGGAACUGAGACACGGUCCAGACUCCUACGGGAGGCAGCAGUAGGGAAUCUUCCGCAAUGGGCGAAAGCCUGACGGAGCAACGCCGCGUGAGUGAUGAAGGUCUUCGGAUCGUAAAACUCUGUUAUUAGGGAAGAACAAAUGUGUAAGUAACUGUGCACAUCUUGACGGUACCUAAUCAGAAAGCCACGGCUAACUACGUG